UCUGCAAGCACCAGGGCUGGAGGGGCCAAAAGGGCAUAAAGAACACAUUCUGUUUUGUUCUCAUGCACUGAGGCUCAAUUUCCCGUAAUUUAUAAGCAGAAAAUAUGCAUAGCUGUUACAACUGAAGAGCAGGAACUAAGCCAUUUGGUCUCUGUCUGCAAACAGAAUCAUCGGGAAAAUCUUCUGGAUCAAGGGCAUUCAGCAGAAAAUGGUGUCUGGAAGGUGACGGUGAGUGUCCAGCACGAUGAGGGCUGGGGAAAUCUCUUCUUCCAGGAAUCAGCAUUCAGGAAGACCCACCUGGGCUGCCUGUGCUGUCUUCUUGAAGACUCCAACCAAGCUCCUUCCUGCUAAUCAGGUUUGAGGCAUAAUCCCUUUAUUUGACUGCUGUGAAGGCUUGAGAUUGCAGGAGUGUGAGGAGUGAAAGAAUUAAUACAGUUCUCCAAGUGUGGCCUGUGGACCCUUGGGAAUUUCUGAGACUCCUUCUGUGGGACUGGGAUGUCAAACUGUGCCUAUAAUAUGGUCAAAACAAUUUUCUUAACAAAAUACUAUCCUAAGUUGAAUAGUGUCCCCCAGAUUCCAUGUCCACCCGGACCAUUAGAAUGUGAGCCUACUUGGAAACGGGAUUUUGGCAGAUGCAGUUAGUCAAGUUGAGGUCAUACUGCAUUAGGAUGGGCCCCAAAUCCAAUGACUGGUGCCCUUACAAGAAGAGGUAACAGAGGAGACACACAGGGAGGAGAACCCCGUAUGAAGACAGUGGCAGAGGCUGGAGUGAAGCAUCUACAAGCCAAGAACAGCCAAGGACUGCUGGGCACCACCAGGAGCUCAAAGAGGGAAGGGCGGAAUUGUCACUAGAGUUCCUCAGGAGUAUUGUUCUGCCGACACUUUGAUUUUGGACUUCUGGGCUCCAGAACUGUGAGAGAAUCCAUUUCUGUUGGUUUAAGUCACACAGCUUGUGGCACUUUGUUACAGAAGCCCUAGGAAACUAAUUCUAAGAUGUUAUUUCUCUUUUUCAUUGUGCUGAUGUUUGCACCAAUGGUGCAGAAGCCAUGGUGGGUAAAACUGCUGGUGCCUUAGCUUGAAUGUGGGCAGCAAACGUUGUACUGGGGGUCAUUGUACUUCACUGCCAUGUAUUCAUAGGAAAGAGAGAAGGAAAGGAAGAAAGAAAUAGAAAGAAAAAGGAAAGAAAGAAAAGGAAAGGAAAGGAGAAGAAGCCAGAUUCACUUAAGGAUGUCUUUGAUGAAAUAAUUAAAAAAUGAUUUUAUUAAAUCUCAACUCUUGAGUUCACAUCUUUUAAUAUUCUUUGUAAUGAAGAGGGAAGGAUAUGUGGGAAAAACAAUUGUUGUUGCCAAGAAAAGCACUGGUGUGCUUGCUUGACUUAUCAGCUGGACUAGUCACAUCCUUUUUUCUCAUGCAAUUCUAUUUUUCUCUGAAGGAGGGACUGACAGACAAACUACUGUUAUUCAAAUUUGGUUACGUGGCAGAUUCUUGAAAAUGAACAAACUAAGCCUGCUACUUCAAGGAAAACAAUGGACACUAUUUGUUGCCAUGAUAAAAUUCAAGCUUUUAAUUAAAAAAUAGAAUUUUGGAAAAUUAGGAUCUGCCCCUAUGAACUUGGCAGCCUCCUAAUACUUAAAGACUUUUCCAAUGUUAUAUUUACAAAUGUUAUUUUUUUUUAAAUAGCGUAUAAUGCAAAACUCGGUAUACUGGUAUUUCCCAGUGAUCAGUGCAUGAUGAUACAAAAGCCCACGUGGGCAGAAGAUCCAUUCCAAGUAGACAGCAGCUCAGGGGACUUGAAUGUAACAGAGGACAGAAAGACCACUGCUUCUGAUCUCAAAGCCCUGCAGGGAAGGGGUGAUGUCCCUCCUGGAGUUCCAGAUUUCAAGGAUAAGGCUCUAGAAUGAAGAGUCCCUCCCAAUGUGAAGGCAAACCCGAUUAGGAUGUGCUGCUCAGGGAUCUUUGAUUGUAAGAGACAGAAAACUCACUAGAUCUAGUUUGGGCUGGGAAGAAAGGGACAUUUUCCAUGAGGAAAGGCAAGAGAGCAGCUGGAUGUACAGGAGAAUUAGAAAUGGAGACUCAAAUGCAGCUAUGACUCAUGUUUGUUUUCUCACCCUUUCUUGUCCCCAUGUGUACUUCAUCUUCCGAGUCAUUUUCCUUCCCUGCACUGUGGGCUUUCUCCACACAGAAUCCACCUUGGUGGCUGACAACCCCAUCGUUCAUCACACCAGAGAACUUUCCUCUGGUUCCAGUUUGGAAAAUUCUAGAGAACAAUCCAGAUUUCCACUGUUUGGUUCUGGUGUCAUUCUCUGGACUGAACAACUAAAACAAGGGUAGGGGUUGGGGGUAGUGUCAAAGGGUGUAGACAUGGCUGCUGGUGCCCAAAUCGGUGGCUGAGAGUCAUUUCCAGAGAAGAGAGAAGCAAAGCGAGCCGGGCAGCACCUACUUGCUGUUGACUACAAACUAGAAGAAAGGCUCUGAGCCGCAGGGAGCUUCCCUUCUUUUAGGAAAUUCCAUUGCAUGUUGCUCUCUGUGACCUUCCCUUUGUGUUUAAGGUUUGCAGCUUCUAACCAACUGAGCUACGAGGGAUUAAGAGCAAGACUGUGUCUAUGAAGCUGGAGCAUUGUGGGAAGAGCUGUGUGUUCUUUGAGACCCAGUGCAGGGAGAUGGUGGCAGUUAGUGGGAGGCCCCCAGUGGGAAAUCAGGGACAAGAGUGAGUCGGAGAAUGAAUCAGCUGACAGGCAUCUCUCCCCAUUGCCAAUCUUUUAUCUCAUUAAGAAAGAAUGAGAAAAGAGUAAAUUUCCUCACUCAGGCUAGGGCAGGCACAAGGAGGGAGAUGCUUGGGAGUCUGCAUUGGUAGAAUUCAGAGGCCAAUUGAUUUUAAAGGAAAAAUGGACAGGAGUAUGUCUAAGAUGGUUUGAAUUUCCAUGCAUGGAGUUACUAGGUGACUGGUGGCUCCUUUGCAUGAAAAAUAGAGGAGGAGAGGUGCUCGAAGGAAAAAUUGUAAGUUAAAUUUUGGGCAUGGCUAGUCCGAUGGGCCAGCAUGACAUCCAAGUGGGGAUGUCCCUAUUCCAUUGGAAAUUUGACCUAGCGUUCAGGAGAAAGCUCUUCCCAGGAGAGAGAGUUGAGUUGGCAGCACAUGGCAGACAUUGAAGAUACUGUGGUAAAGAAAAAGUGCUUGCCGUGCCACCCAUGGCACUGUCAACAUGCCUGCACUGAUGGGACAGCAGGAAGAGUUUGCAGACACUUUUCUAUCCUCGUCAAGGAACCCCAUCAUCAAUAAAGGAAUUGGCCCUUCAUGAGAAACCUUAGAGAGGCUGCUCAACUCUGGACCUGACUUUCCAUCACUGCCCAACAAGAGUGCAGCCAAGAAGAACCUCAUUUGCCCAACACCGUCCAACAAGCAUUCAUUUCUGGCCAACUCCAUACAGAAGUGAACAGCCUGAGUGUUCCCACCAACUAGCUGGAUCGUGAGGACAAGGAACUGCCUUCGUGGGAAAGAGAGAAAUUUUAUUUCUGGCCUCAUUCCCGGUGAACCUGAAUUGAGUCCUUCCCAAUGGCGCAGAAUGAUCCCUUUCCACACCCAUCCUUCCCUCACCCUGCGGGUGACUGAGGCAUGUGGGCUGUCGGCUCCUGUGUGCUUUCAGGAAAUGGUCCCUUCAUUGAACGCUGUGGUGGGUGCUGCCUGGUCCUUUCCAGGCCCUUGGUGGAUACACUGACAUGCCUGGUGCUGUGUGUGAGGCUCACAGCAAUGCCAAGAGGUGUCUGGGAGGAUGCUGAAGGAUUUCCCCUCUAAUCUUCACAGUGCAGAGACUUCUAAGAAAAAGAGCUAAUGCUUUCUGAGAACCUGCUCUGGAACAGGUACUAGGCAGGAGAAGAGAGGAGACAAACAUGGAGACCAAGCUUGGAGAACAGACGCUGUCAGAGUGUAGCAUUGUGCCAACCUGCUGCAAAAGGAAGCAUGGGGAGGGGUGCCAAAGACAGGACAGGGAUGGAGUGGAGAAAACUCCAGGAAAAGGAAGCGGAUGAUGAGAUCAGAGCAGACACCGACUGGAUAGAGUAAAUAUCAAAAUUAUGUGCACACCAAAAUGUUCUGCCAUAAGCGUGAACUGAUCGUUAAGAGUCCUUUCUUUCCCCUCCCCCAUCAUCUUGCCUCUUCUUUAUAUUAAACAUUUUCUAUCAUGUUCAAUAUAUACAUCUAAAAUGCUAGGAUGCAAUACCUUUUGACCUGUAAAAUGAACACAUUUGAAGGCUGAAAUUUGAGAUGUCCCUUGUAAUCAUGCAGAAAUCAUGAUUUCCCUGUUGCAGAGAGCAUGAUUUGGGGAAUUAGUUAGUUUGCCUCCUUGUUUUUCACAUUCAGUUAAUAUCGAGUGGCCUGUUGCUACCGAUCUUGGCAAUGCCCAUGUGGCUUGGCAAGGUUUAGCCCUGGCCCUGUUGGCAGGAGGAGAUAAACAAGCCGUGUCCCGGGAGGGCGAUGCACAGGCCAGACUCCAACUUGGCACCCCUCCUGCACUGUCUUCAUGAGCACUCCCUGGAAACUCCGUCUCCACGUCUCCAGUCGCAGCGAUGAAUGCACUGUGGAAAAAUACGUAUUUGGGUAAAACCUAAAUGCUUCACGGCAUUCAAGAAGAGGAUACCCCUUAGGCAACCUCUUAGGCAGUCUCACUUGAUGGACUGGAUUUUGUGGGGCAACUGUGGAGCCACAAUCAUUCCAAGUGCUCUGUGGACAGAUCAGUAAUAUAAGAGCCACAUGCUUGGCAGGUAAAGUUGCUGGAAGUCUGGUGGUUUCUUUGGCCAGCAUAGUGUUUAUUUCUUUUUGUUUGUCAUAGUUUGAGGCACGAUAUGGACUUCAGUGGUUCGCCAUUAUCCCCACUACUCUGUAUUGUUUUACAUCCUUCCCUUCCAGACACCAUGUUUCCCACUUGGUCUACAUUGCUGGAUCCCCCAACUACAGACUUCACAGCCUCCUGAAGUCUUCGUCAGGGACCAUGCCACAAAUAUUCCAUGAAUAAUUAUCAUUAGCA